CCGUAGCCCAAGAGAUCGGGAUAACACCUGGAAACAGAUGCUAAUACCGGAUAACAACAGAUGAUGCCUAUCAACUGUUUAAAAGAUGGUUCUGCUAUCACUCUUGGAUGGACCUGCGGUGCAUUAGCUAGUUGGUAGGGUAACGGGCCUACCAAGGCGAUGAUGCAUAGCCGAGUUGAGAGACUGAUCGGCCACAUUGGGACUGAGACACGGCCCAAACUCCUACCGGGAGGGCAGCAGCA
rnacentral:rRNA from 1 species